rnacentral:rRNA from 1 species
UACAGAGGUCCCGAGCGUUGUUCGGAUUCAUUGGGCGUAAAGGGUGCGUAGGCGGCGCGGUAAGUCGGGUGUGAAAUCUCGGAGCUUAACUCCGAAACUGCAUUCGAUACUGCCGUGCUUGAGGACUGGAGGGGAGACUGGAAUUUACGGUGUAGCGGUGAAAUGCGUAGAUAUCGUAAGGAAGACCAGUGGCGAAGGCGGGUCUCUGGACAGUUCCUGACGCUGAGGCACGAAGGUCAGGGGAGCAAACGGG